rnacentral:rRNA from 1 species
UACGUAGGGGGCAAGCGUUGUCCGGAAUUAUUGGGCGUAAAGCGCGCGCAGGCGGUCAUUUAAGUCUGGUGUUUAAUCCUGGGGCUCAACCCCAGUUCGCAUCGGAAACUGGAUGACUUGAGUGUAGGAGAGGAAAGUGGAAUUCCACGUGUAGCGGUGAAAUGCGUAGAGAUGUGGAGGAACACCAGUGGCGAAGGCGACUUUCUGGACUAUAACUGACGCUGAGACGCGAAAGCGUGGGGAGCGAACAGG